GUUUUGGAACUGGUGUACUGUCU
rnacentral:piRNA from 1 species